UGCGAGUGAAGCGGGAAAAGCUCAAAUUUAAAUCUGGCGGUCUCCGGCCGUCCGAGUUGUAAUUUAGAGAAGCGUUAUCCGUGCUGGACCGUGUAUAAGUCUCCUGGAAUGGAGCGUCAUAGAGGGUGAGAAUCCCGUCUUUGACACGGACUACCAGUGCAUUGUGAUGCGCUCUCGACGAGUCGAGUUGUUUGGGAAUGCAGCUCAAAAUGGGUGGUAAAUGCCAUCUAAAGCUAAAUAUUGGCGAGAGACCGAUAGCGAACAAGUACCGUGAGGGAAAGAUGAAAAGAACUUUGGAAAGAGAGUUAAACAGUACGUGAAAUUGUCGAAAGGGAAACGGUUGCAGUCAGUCGCGUCCGCCGGGGAUCAACCUUGCUUUUGCUUGGCGUAUUUCCCGGUGGAUGGGUCAGCAUCAGUUUUGACCGCAGUUGAAAGGCUGGAGGAAUGUGGCACCUUCGGGUGUGUUAUAGCCUCCUGUCAUAUGCUGCGGUUGGGACUGAGGAACUCAGCACGCCGAAAGGCCGGGAUUCGUCCACGUUCGUGCUUAGGAUGCUGGCAUAAUGUCUGUAACCGACCCGUCUUGAAACACGGACCAAGGAGUCUAACAUGCACGCGAGUGUUUGGGUGGCAACCCGAGCGCGUAAUGAAAGUGAAAGUUGAGACCUCUGUCGUGGAGGGCAUCGACGCCCGGACCAGAACUUUUGGGACGGAUCCGCGGUAGAGCGUGUAUGUUGGGACCCGAAAGAUGGUGAACUAUGCCUGAAUAGGGCGAAGCCAGAGGAAACUCUGGUGGAGGCUCGUAGCGAUUCUGACGUGCAAAUCGAUCGUCGAAUUGGGU
rnacentral:rRNA from 1 species